UACGUAGGGGGGCUAGCGUUGUCCGGAAUCAUUGGGCGUAAAGAGCGUGUAGGCGGCCCGAUAAGUCCGCUGUGAAAGUCCAGGGCUCAACCCUGGAAUGCCGGUGGAUACUGUCGGGCUCGAAUCCGGAAGAGGUGAGUGGAAUUCCCGGUGUAGAGGUGAAAUUCGUAGAUAUCGGGAGGAACACCAGUGCGAAGGCGGCGACCUGGGCCAAUACUGACGCUGAGGUGCGAAAGCGUGGGGAGCAAACAGG
rnacentral:rRNA from 1 species